CGCGGGGUAGAGCAGUCUGGCUAGCUCAUGAGGCUCAUAACCUUGAGGUCACGGGUUCAAAUCCCGUCCCCG
rnacentral:tRNA from 1 species